AGGUUGCACCGUGUGUUCUCGCUGGUGCACAGGCACGCACACAAGCUGAUUUCUUUUCCUGCUGCAGUGACGGCGCAAAGCUGCGCGACGUGAGGAGAGGAGCACACCGCAACAACGGAGGGCCGUGUUUCCACGGCAGCCCUGCAACCUUCCAAUCCAUAUGCACAUCUCCAAUACCACGUUUCUGGAAAUGACCUCUUCAGCUUCGUCAGCCAUGGUCGAGAUCACGGUGCAGGACCCCGCGACUCAUCACGAGCGCGCGUUUCUCUGCGCCCUGGGCCCACUCCGCACGCACAUGCGCUACUUUGAGCCUCUUAUCCAACGCCAAAUAAACGAGGCCAAGGUGUCGCCGCCGCCCGAAUCGUCCUCCUCGCUUGCAGUGGCCUUCACCCUCCGUGCACGGUGCGACCACGCCACGUUUCAGUGGCUGAUGAACUGGAUUAGCGGCAAAGCGCCGCAAAUCACAAACAGCAACGUUGUAAGCAUCUGCCUCUCCUCGAGUUUCCUGCAGAUGCAGGAGCUGUCGGACAACGCGCUCAUGUACCUCAGCGCGCACUUGAAGGAGAUUGUGCCGUCCAGCUUCGACUUGACGAACCUGCCAACACACCUGGUUCUGCGGUUGAGUCACAUGGUGCGUGACAUCGACCUGGCUGCCGCACUGCUCCGCCUGCACGAGGAGCGGAGCGCGAACCACCCGAACCGCGCCUUUGUCGCGUCGCUGCUGCAACACUAUGUGUGCCACAAAGUGGGUGUGGCUGAUGGUGCAGAAGUGUCUUUGCAAACCGACGCGGCGGCGACAGCCAGCAGCGACACCAACGGAGGCGCAUGGUCCCCAGCCGGGUUGCCAGCGACGCACAGUGGCCAGCUGACUCUUCCUCCCACCUGUGGCUUGCGCUGGUGCUGCCUGUGUGCAACCUUGUUUGAUGAAGGUGAGCUUGAUCGGCUCGGCCGCACCUCUCAGCUCUCUGGCCCCGAGUGUCCAGCACAAUCGGGACCGGCAAGCCACACCGGUGGCAGAGCUCAUCACGCAUCGAUCGCGGGUCGAGGGUGGCGCGUUGGCCCACGUGGCGAGGUCUUCGCUACCCACGCUGCAGCACGGCACACAACGCCGGUCAUUCUCGAGGCGCCACCAGCACUCAAGGGUAGCGAAGUCUCUGCGCCGACGUUGGCUGCAGAGGCCGCGCCACCGCUCACAGCAGAGUUGGAGCGGUGGGCGUGGCGCAUCAUCGGUGCGAUCCGGUACGCGGGCUGUCGACGUUGCUUCCACCUCGUGAGCCUCCUCGACGUAUCAAAGCAUUGGUGCUCGGAGCUGCCGAGGAAGUUCUCGUCUCCGGACAACGUGGCUGAAGACUUCAAACACCUAAUCCGCUGGUUCGACUACUGCGCAGAGCACAACGUGUACGAGCGCGAGGGCGGUCUAACGCCCAUGCGAUACAGCGGGCCGGCUCACGCACUCGCCGAGGAGAUUGUGGAGGUGCCUACCUUUGGCUCAAAGCCAGAGCCUGUCUCACGAGGCGCAUCCGCAACCGCGGCGGAGAGCCACAACGGCGUGAGGGCAGCAGGGCUGGAAGGCACUGGGGCCGUGGCGGUGCGCAGUGCUGGCAGCAACUCCUUCACCGCUCUCACGUCGCCACACUCGACCGACAUUUGCCUCUGGGCCACCAUGCCUUUCUACGUGAAGGAGGUCAUGAGCGAGAAUGUUGUUGACAUCGACAUUCUCAACUACGUGGAGCGGCAGCACCGCUUCGGGAGCGAGGCGCAGCAGCGCAGGGCUUCUGCGGCGCAGAACUACUCGGCGAUGCGUCUGUCUAUCUCGCCCGUUGUUACGGGGACCGCAAGAGGCCACGCUGGUGGUCAGCUGGCCUCGUCGUCGUCCUCGCCGCGUCCGCUGUCGAGCAUUGGUGGCACGAGUGGCGGUGGCGCUGCGAGCCGCUUCAAGGGCAACAGCAGCGGCGGUGCUCGUGGCAGUCGACCGCGCGCCGACCCUCACACAUCGCCAUACGGGUCGCUGUCGUCGACACACCGCUGAUGGACGUCGCUUCUGCGCUGCUUGCCUUGGCUUCCAGUUUUCUUAGCCUUUUUCUUUUUGCUUUUUCUGUCGGGGGUGGGUGGGGGGGGCUUGACAUGGUCACCUUAUUGCUGUGGCCCCCCUCCACUCUGGGCCUUGCGGAUCUCCCCCUUUCUCUGUGAAGCGGCGAGCCACACAGCGCCGUGGAAAUGGUGUAUGUCUCUGUUGUCUGAGCAUCUGCGUGCGUGCGAUUCUCAGCGCAUCCCAUGUGAUGUGCAGCGAAGGUCGUCGUAUGUCUGUGUGUGUGGGGGUGUGGGUGGGUGGGGGCCGCGCGCGAUCGGAUGCGCGCAUCGUGCGGAGGUCCCCAGACGGGCGAUUCCGUGUUGACUGAGCCGUCGCCGGCUGGAAGGCUUCGCCCUUUUGGCCGUUGUCGUCUUCCUACAAAAGGGCAUGGACAGUGUCGUUGACGUAUGACAGGAGUGACAACUCGCCUCCGAGGCAGACCAGCGCACCCUGACUCAUCCAGAGAUCGAUAUGGAGGCUGCGGACCGCGCCAUCGACUCUCUUUCUGUGUCUCGCACAACGACUACUUAAUCACUCACUUGUACGGUGGCUGGCUCACCAUGAGGAGAGACCCACCGGGGGUGACAACAUGAACAUCAAGGAGAGAGAAACAAAGGCCAAAGGCGACGGCGACGGCCACAGCAACCAACGACGCCCCUCUCGUGUGCUGAGGCGCACUUCUUUUAUGCGUGCUGUUCGCGUGUUCUUCUAAGGGGGGGGGGAGGGUGGAGACUUUGCAGUGCUACCGCCAGAUGCGUUACGCUUCCUGUCUUCGACUGCUGUGUCUCCAGGGCCGUGCUCCCGCCAUCGUCCCGUGGAUAGAGAACAAGGAUGCUACUUGAGCGAGCGCAGCUAUUGACC
rnacentral:misc_RNA from 1 species